AAAAAAAGGGAUGCAUUCAUUCUUUGGAAGGCCCCAGUAUAUUUGAGGCCACAGAGCCUAGAGAUCAGUAGAGACUCUGGAAUCUGAGGCCUGAGGGGGAAAUCCCAGCAUCUCAUCUUUAAGCUGAAUGAGGAGCAAAAGACUUCUGGAUGAGAAUAAAGGGAAAGAUACGGUUCUAGGAACGAAUGCAUUGAGCACCACUCCCGCCCCACCCCCCAAUGCCUGUGCCUCUUGGCCCACCGUUUUCAUGUUCGUGUGAUCUCACCAAUGAGGAUGUCCACGUGCCACAUUCUUACUGUUUAGUUAUAGUUGAUUUACGAUGUUGUGCCAAUUUCUGCGGUAAAGCCAAGUGACCCAGUGUCCUAUCUAUAUAUACAUUCCUUUUCUCAUAUUAUCAUCCCUCAUGGUCUAUCCUGAGACUGGACACAGUUCUCUGUGCUAUACAGAAGGGCCUCAUGCUUCUCCAUUCUAAAUGUAAGAGUUUACAUCUACUAACCCCAAACUCCCAGUCCAUCCUGCUCCCUCCCCCCUCCCCCUUGGCUAUCAACCCCCUUAUAGGUAGGUUCAUUUGUGCCAUUUAUAUUUAUUUAUUUAUUUUUGCUUUUUAGGGUCCAACACACAACACAUGGAGGUUCCCAGGCUAGGGGGUUGAAUCGGAGCUACAGCUGCCGGCCUACAGCACAGCCACAGCAACACCAUAUCUGAGCUAUGUCUGCAACCUAUACCACAGCUUACAGCAACACUGGAUCCUUAACCCACUGAGAGAAGCCAGGGAUCAAAGCUGCAUCCUCAUGGAUACUAGUCAGAUUCGUUUCCCCUGCACCACAAUGGGAACUCCCAUUUGUGCCAUAUUUUAGAUUCCACAUACAAAUGGUAUAUGGUAUUUGUCUUUCUCUGUCUGACUUAUUCCACUUAGUAUGAUCAUCUCUAGUUGCAUCCAUGCUGCUGCAGAUGCACAUGCUGCAUUCUAAUGACCUUCUCUUUGUCGUAGGAUUCUUUCCCCACCGUGUGUAAAACACUAGAGCAGGGCACUCAACCAAUCCCCAAAUAAAAAUCCAAGCUUUGCACUUAUCCCUGGAAAUGUGGAGAUGAGGGAAGACCAUUCAGUGUGAUUUAUAGGGGCACAUCCAAGGUGCUGGGGAGCAGCAGAGAAAGGGCACAUAAUCCAGCCCAGCAAAGCAGGAAGGGCAUCUAGAGAAAGGGAUAGCUGAGUUUUGAGGUAUGAGUAGGAGUUACAAAGGCGGGAAAAAUAUACAGUGGCAAGGAGGGGAAAGCAGCAUGGAAAAUCAGGGAGCUGUGAUGGUUCAGCACAGAGUAGGAAGUGAGGGGAGUAGGAGAGGAGGCCAGCACAGGAGACAGCCUGACCUGUAAGAGUCCCACUUGCUCUGCUAAGAGUGUUGAGCUUAUUCAGAGGGUGGUAGAGGGAACCGUUGAGUAAAGUAGACAUUCUUUGAGAUAUGAGUGUGGGUGUGUGGAGAGGUAGCACAGAGAGGAGGUUGAAAGCAUGGACUCUGGAAUCCAGACUGGCCUGUCCUCCCAUUUGAUGGCUUCGUGAUGGUGGGCAACUUCUUUAAGCCCCAAUUUCCUCUUCUUAAAGAGGGGAGAAUAGGAGUUCCCGUUGUGACUCAGUGGUAAUGAACCUGACUAGAAUCCAUGAGGACGUGAGUUCCAUCCCUGGUCCCACUCAGUGGCAUUGCUGUGAGAUGUGGUAUAGGUUGAAGACAUGGCUAUGAUCUGGCAUAGCUGUGGCUGUGGUGUAGACUGGCAGCUGCAGCUCCAAUUUGAUUCCUAGCCUGGGAACUUCCAUACGCUGCAGGUGUGGCCUUAAAAAAGCAAAAAAUAAAAAAAGAGGGGAGAACAGUCUUAUCUGCAUCAGGAAAUUUUAGGAGAUAAUACAUAUAAAGCACUUACUACAAUGACUGACACAUAGUGGUCAAUAAAUGCUAAUUAUUGUUAUAGAUUAUUUGAAUAAUCGAUAAUUAGGUUUCUUGUUUGCCUCAUUUUUUUGUAAUAAAUGAAUUACCUUUAUCACAACGAUAGAAAUUUAAAGUGUUGUUUUAUGUACCCUAAGAAAAAAUAGAAACAUUUGCUCAUGCAUUCAACAAAUAUUGAUUGGCCAUAAAGGAUGUAGCAGGCACAGUUAUAGGCUCUGGGGAAAAAGCAGAAAACAAGGCUGUCUAAGGUCCCUGCCCCCAUACAGCUCCUAUUCCAGUCAAGCAGGCUGACCUAAAUAAGUAAACAAUAGGAUUGACAACAUGUGUCAGCUCCAGGAGGCAGGGAGCUGGUCUGAGCCGGGAUGUAUCCUGAAUGUAUAAGAUAGCGCCCUCUGCCGGCACUCAGUGUUGUGUGAAUGAAAAAUCAUUUCAGGUGGUAACAGAGCCACUAGGGUGGCAACAAAACAAGGCCACGUGAUGCAGUGGGCAGGUUGGUUUCACUAGAGGUGAAAGUGACAAAGCGACUGAUGAGCUAAAACAGGAAGGUGUGAAAGGAGCUAAUCACGGACAGACUUUGAGAAGAAUAUUCCAGGCCCAAGAGUAUUUGAAGCCAAAGCCAACAGUCCUAAAGCAAGGCUGUGCAAAGAACAGAAAGAAGGCCCAAGUCAGGGGAUGCAGUGAGCAAGGGGUGCAGAGAGGAGGGACGGAGGCAGGGGCAGUAGGCAAGGUCACUCACCACAUUAUUUUCUUGCCCUGCUCAGACCCCCGCCUGCUAAGAUGUUUUGCUCCUUACCUCACAGUGUCCGUAGAAUGAUCACUUCUUGUGUGGGCUGCUGUCACUCUUGUGUGACAGAAAUCUCUUUCCAGGCUGGGGGUGUGGAGAAGGUGACUAGAUUCCCCUCCUUCUGUUGCCAGGCCUCUGUGUUGACACUUUAUCUGCUCCAUCUUUCUGGCUGUGCUGGGUUUAUUUUGUGAAACUGAUGUAAUGAUAAAGGGAACUCUUACCCUCUGGGGGAAAGAAUUCUGAGGGCAAGGGGAAGAUUCCAAGAUUUUAAAUAGGAGUUCCCAUUGUGGCUCAGCGAGUUAAGAACCCAACAUAGUGUCCGUGAGGAUGUGGGUUCGAUCCCUGGCCUCACUCAGUGGGUUAAGGAUCCAGCAUUGCCCUGAGCUGUGGUGUAGGUCGCAGACACAGCUCAGAUCCCACAUUGCUGGCAGCUGCAGCUCCAAUUUGACCCCUAGCCUGGGAACUUCCAUUUGCCAUAGGUGUGGCUGUAAAAAGAAAGUAAAGAAAUAGGUGACAAAGACGGCCUAAAUGAAGUUGUUAAGGAUCACUUUGGUGGCUGGGUAGAGAAGAAACUGUGGGACAAGGAGAAUAAGGGGAACCAAGUAGGUGACCGCUGAAGCAAGCAAGGCCCAGGAGAGGGGUGGCCUGCCCUGGGGUCUAGAUGAGGGAAGCGGGAUGACGGAACCCUCCACAGUUUGGUGGAGGUGUGUGCAGUGCACACCACACACACACACACACACACACACAGUAUAAAUGUUGUAUGUAAAACAAGAUUAUUCUUGCCUGCAGAGGGCACUUGAAUAUUCUAAAGUCCAAGGGUCAGAGCAGGUUGACUCAAGCAGAGACUCUGUUUCCCAAGGGCAUAAUUUAAGAGGCCAGGAAAGCAAAAAGAAAACAAUCUCAGCUGAAGCUACGCUCUUUGCCUACUGGAACGUAAAACCUCUUCUUUUAAAAAAUUAAAUUUUGGGGCAGAGUUCCUGUCAUUGCUCAGCGGUAACGAACCUGACUAAUACCCAUGAGGAUGCCUGUUCUCCUGGCCUCAUUCAGUGGGUUAAGGAUCCGGCAUUGCCCUGAGCUGUGGUGCAGAUCACAGAUGCAGCUUGGAUCCGGUGUUGCUCUGGCUGUGGCGUAGGCCAGCAGGUGCAGCUCCGAUUCGACCCCUAGCCUGGGAACUUCCAUAUGCCGUGGGUGCGGCCCUAAAAAGGCAAAAAUUUUUUUAAAUUUUUUGUGAUAGCUCAUACAAUAAGCCAGGAAUUUGGGCUUUCACACAUUAGUGAAAGCUAGUUAAAUGAUACAGCCAUCCUCCCAGUGAACAGAUGUGAGAGGGGGAGUCUGGCAGGCAGGAGAGGGGAGGAGGAGGCUCAUUUGCUGGGGAAUCUUUGGCCAGGUUGCCAGGUGGGGAGGGGCUCAAGUAGGGAAGCUCUGAGCCAAGCCCAAGGGCAGCAGAGAGACUGGUGCCUGGAAAGAAUGGGGGGGUUGGGGGGGGGCACCAGGGAAUUUUAAGUACUUUGGAACACAGCUUGAGCACAGUUGUGCCUGGAAAUAUCUCUGUCAUCUCCAGAAAUCACUUGCUAAGUGCUGCUUCAACCCAAUUCUGUGUCUUAUAUUGGGUAAUUCACGUUAGAAUGACAUGAUCCUGGUCCUUGAUAAAGUCCAAAGCAGUUUUACACAUAAAUAUGCUGAGAAUGAGUCAUUUUACAGAGAGGGAAAGGCAAGUAUUUAGACCACCCAAUUCGAAGGGCAUACAACCACUGCCUCUUCCAGCUCACCUCUGGUAAAUGCUAUAAAUGCUGCCGUCGGAGGUCUCAAAGCCCCCUUCUCCCCACCCUGUCCUUGGCUUUGGGCAUUGAAGACCUUGUGAAAAGACUCAUGCCAUCCAGGAGGCUCCUCCUUCUGGGCCCCCACAGGAGCCUGUGCAUGUGUUCCCUUGCAUCAUUGCCUUAUGUGACACUUGCUCACCUACCUGUGACCCCACCCAGAUCACCAGUCCUUGAGGCAGGCAUGGGUCUCACUCAUCUUUGUCAUCCAAGGGGACUGAAACCUUACUCUCCACAGCAGUAUCAUAUGUUUAUACUAAUCCCAUAAUUCUAUUUAUUCCAUAUAAACAGAUACAUAUAUUCAUCUGUUUUAGGUGGUGUUUGAGACUCUAGUUUUACCUGAUUUAUAAACUAGAUUAGCUGGAAAUAUUUGUAUGUACAGGAAGAAAGAUAAAAAUGUCCCGCUGUGGAAGGUGUAGAGACAAAACAAGCCCUUACUUCACCUAUGAAAAAAGAAGGGAAAUAUUCCAUCGGAUGCUUUGCCACACACCCAGCCAUACCCCCUCCCCCAAACCAGGAAACUGCAAAACAGACUUUGCCCCAUGUGAGCUGUCCAGCCUCCUCUUCUUUCUGUGCUUUCAGCUAGUAUGUUGCCUUUGAAAGAUGUCCGAAAUAAUUUAACACUUUUGCUAGUGUGGUCACAUGUUAAUUGAAACGGUUAGCGAGGAGUUCCUGUUGUGGCUCAGCAGGUUAAGAACCCGAGACAAUAUCCUUGAAAAUGUGGGUUCAAUCCCUGGCCUUGCUCAGUGGGAUAAGGAUGUGUCGUUGCCGCUAGCUGCAGCAUAGGUCCCAGAUGCGGUUUAGAUCUUAUGUUGUGGGAGUUCCUGUCAUGGCGCAGAGGAAACGAAUCUGACUAAGAACCAUGAGGUUGCAGGUUCGAUCCCUGGCCUUGCUCAGCGGGUUAAGGAUCUGGCAUUGCCGUGAGCUGUGGUGUAGGUCACAGACGUGGCUGGAAUCUAGCAUUGCUAUGGCUAUGGUGUAGGCUGGCAGCUACAGCUCCAAUUGGACCCCUAGCCUGGGAACCUCCAUAUGCCAAGGGUGCGGCCCU
rnacentral:lncRNA from 1 species